ensembl:misc_RNA Metazoa_SRP Metazoan signal recognition particle RNA
ACCGGGCACGGUGACACCUGCCUGUAGUCCCAGCUACUCGGGAUGCUGAGGUGGGAGGAUCGCUUGAGCUCAGAAGUUCUGGGCUGUAGUGCACUAUGCCAAUCAGGUAUCUGCACUAAGUUCGGCGUCAAUAUGGUGACCUCCUGGGAGCGGGGGACCACCAGGUUAUCUAAGGAGGGGUGAACCGGCACAGGUCGGAAACGGAGCCAGUCAAAACUCCCGUGCUGAUCAGUAGUGGGAUUGCACCUGUGAAUAGCCACUGCACUCCAGCCUGGGCAACAUAGCGAGACCCCAUCUCUA